UACGGGAGGCAGCAGGGGGGAAUAUUGCACAAUGGGCGCAAGCCUGAUGCAGCCAUGCCGCGUGUAUGAAGAAGGCCUUCGGGUUGUAAAGUACUUUCAGUCGUGAGGAAGGUGUUAAGGUUAAUAACCUUAGCAAUUGACGUUAGCGACAGAAGAAGCACCGGCUAACUCCGUGCCAGCAGCCGCGGUAAUACGGAGGGUGCGAGCGUUAAUCGGAAUUACUGGGCGUAAAGGGCACGCAGGCGGUUAAUUAAGUUGGAUGUGAAAUCCCCGGGCUUAACCUGGGAAUGGCAUUCAAGACUGGUUAGCUAGAGUCUUGUAGAGGGGGUUAGAAUUCCAUGUGUAGCGGUGAAAUGCGUAGAGAUGUGGAGGAAUACCGGUGGCGAAGGCGGCCCCUGGACAAAGACUGACGCUCAUGUGCGAAAGCGUGGGGAGCAAACAGGGAUUAGAUACCCG
rnacentral:rRNA from 1 species